rfam:Chlamydiae bacterium RIFCSPHIGHO2_12_FTLL_27_8 rifcsphigho2_12_scaffold_27888, whole genome shotgun sequence.
GAGGCAUUAGCUCAGUCGGUAGAGCACCUCCCUUUUAAGGAGGGGGUCGAUGGUUCGAGUCCAUCAUGCCUCA